AUUGAACGCUGGCGGCAGGCCUAACACAUGCAAGUCGAACGGUAACAGGAAGACGCUUGCUUCUUUGCUGACGAGUGGCGGACGGGUGAGUAAUGUCUGGGAAACUGCCUGAUGGAGGGGGAUAACUACUGGAAACGGUAGCUAAUACCGCAUAACGUCGCAAGACCAAAGAGGGGGACCUUCGGGCCUCUUGCCACCGGAUGUGCCCAGAUGGGAUUAGCUAGUAGGUGGGGUAACGGCUCACCUAGGCGACGAUCCCUAGCUGGUCUGAGAGGAUGACCAGCCACACUGGAACUGAGACACGGUCCAGACUCCUACGGGAGGCAGCAGUGGGGAAUAUUGCACAAUGGGCGCAAGCCUGAUGCAGCCAUGCCGCGUGUAUGAAGAAGGCCUUCGGGUUGUAAAGUACUUUCAGCGGGGAGGAAGGGAGUAAAGUUAAUACCUUUGCUCAUUGACGUUACCCGCAGAAGAAGCACCGGCUAACUCCGUG
rnacentral:rRNA from 1 species